AAUUCUCAACUCUCUUAUACUGUUUUGUAUAGGAGAGCUUGGAUUGUGGAGGUUUGCUGGCCACUCGUUUGAGGUUCAGCUCCUCUGAAAUACAUUAGCGGAACCGUUUGCGAUCUGCCACAAGUGUGAUAAUUAUCUACACUAGCGAGGGGAUUGCUCUCUGUGUUGUUCAGCUUCUAAUUGUUUCACUUUGUGAGACUACUUUUGAAU
rnacentral:misc_RNA from 1 species